rnacentral:sRNA from 1 species
UUUGGCUAUUUCACUAUGGACCGUGGACGCCUCGAACUUUACCACUGGGGAUCCUCGAGCCUGCUAUGAUGGGAAAGGAGAAAAGCCUUUUAUGUUUGAAGUUCUGCCCGAAUUUGGUUGGGAUAACCUUGUCAACGGAAACCGGGGCGUUGUCGUGAAUUUCAAUUAUUCAAAAUGCAAGACAACAGAGGACAGGCGGUAUCUUCUUCCCGACGGGGUCGUCACCAUUCCCGUCAAAACGAGUCAAAUGAACGUUUUUUCCAAGCUCUAUGACCACUGGUCUCAGUAUGAAUCGGAUACGGCGUUUUCUGUCAACAACGGAGCUUCGGCGACGAUCAAAGGUGUGAAAAUUGCUGCAAGUUUCUCCGCCGAAUAUGAACACAUCAAAAAGCACCAGUUGGAAGAUAAACCGUUUACUACCAAAGUUCAGGCGAGGUUUGUCCGAUACACAGUGAAAGUUCUUCCAGACGUACAGCUUGAGCAGUCUUUCCGCAAUCGUUUUCUGAGAAUCGCUGGACAAAUUCAACAAAACCGGAAGCUGUCCACUAAGUACGAGAGCGAACUGCUGGUGCGUGAUUUCGGUACAAACGUUCUAACCAGUGUCGACGCCGGGGCUUCCAUUGUCAAAGUGGAUCAAGUCGACUCUUCAUUACUUGAAGAUACCACAACAAACAAGGUCAAAAUAGGUUAUUCAGCCAGUGUUUCCCUUCCCGGACUAGCAAACGCAAGCAUCAAAGAUCAAUAUUCAAACACAAAAACGGAACUUAAGAAGUACAUGAAAAGUGUCAAGAAUUCGGACAUUAGAACCUAUGGUGGACCACCAAUGAAUCCGGAAAAUUUCACGCUCAGCAAAUGGACAACUACUAUUGGGAAUGAUUUGGUUGCUGUUGACAGGAAUGGGUUUCCACUUGACUACGUUAUAUCCACGACAGCAUUACCUGAUCUAUCUGAGAGUCUUGUAGAAGAGGUGGUUCAGAGGGUUCGACAGGCGAUCUCGUCCUAUUUUAAACACAACACGUAUCCAGGAUGUACGAACCCUGAUGCACUUAACUUUAGUAAAAUCUCAAAUUUGGACGACGGUUCAUGCCAUGUGCCACUCACUAAUCUGAGCUUUGGGGGAGUUUAUCAAGAGUGCCUCUUCCAAGGUAAACUUUUCAAUGAUGAAAACUUGUGUGACAAACUUGCGACCAAGAAUCCGCAAACACAGAAUUUUUCGUGCCCAGACGGAUUUGAAAAUGUUCUUCAUUACAAAGGAACAACGCAUAAAGCUCAGCAACAGCACCAAUGUCACAGAUGCUGGAUCUUCUUCAAAUGUUGUCAUGAUCAACCAUUUUAUGCUUCAGCAACGUACACAUCGUACUGGUGUGGAGCAAAGCCAAACUCUGAAGUGCAUAAGGAUAGUGGAUAUCUGUUUGGGGAACUGUAUUCGGACAGAACCAAUAACUUUGUCACGCAAUCAAAAUCAUGUCCGCAGUAUUUUAAUUCUUUGCUGAAUGCUUCCAAUGUCAGAAUUUGCAUAAGUGAUGACUACGAACUUGGUGCAAAGUUUGCGGUGCCUUUGGGCGGAUUCUACAGUUGCCAACAAAAUUCAGUAUUGCGUGCGGACUGGUCUACUCUCUGGUUUAAAAUUCCCAACCGUUCAUAUACCUCCAUUUUCUGACGUUCCAGCAGAAAGUAUAAGAGAGCCGGCUCAUUUCAUUAUCUCCCAUAACUCAGAGAGCUGGGUUCAACUUGUUGAUCCUGAAAUGAAAGGUAAAACACCUGAAGAGUCAACAUGGACAACACUAAACUCGGCACCAAAAGAAAUGGAAACUUUAAUGAAGGCAUUCACCGAUAAUCAUGUGGUCAAACUUAGCGAUGAGUCAGGAAUGUCAAAAGGCGCCAUUGCAGGUUUGUCCGUUGGUUUGACGACUGCUGUCUGCGUGAUCAUUGGUAUAGCCAUCGCCGUGCGACGAAAUCGCAAACAAAAAAGAGAAUAUAACAGAAUUGGAUAAGUCUCAGUUGAUUGUCAUUGUGUCUUAGUGUAUUAAUAGAUAUACUGUCAUGUUAAUCGAUGAAUGAUUAAAAUUCAUUGGUACUAG